ACUCUAUUUAACUUCCUUUUCCACUUUAAUGUUCUCCACAAAAAAGAUGUCUCUAUAUGCACCAUACUACCCAAAUCGCUGUUCGGCUUCUGAUACUUCCAGAUUCAACCAGAUCAAGUUCUUAGUGGAAAGUGGUUUACUCGAAUUUCAAUGACGACUCACAAUUAGUGGCUAGAUUGUGAUGGUGGAGAGUCUAGCAAAAUGUGUGGCACUACUGAAUUUUCACAUACAUUUCACUUAGGUCCAUAUGGUGAUUAAUUGAGGUAUUACUUGAUGACCUUUGUGAUCUCUGUUGCAAUGCUGCUGAUCUUGAUGGCUAUACUAUUAUUCUUGCAGGUCCAUAUGGUGAUU